GGGGAAUAUUGCACAAUGGGGGAAACCCUGAUGCAGCGACGCCGCGUGGAGGAAGAAGGUCUUCGGAUUGUAAACUCCUGUUGUUGGGGAAGAUAAUGACGGUACCCAACAAGGAAGUGACGGCUAACUACGUGCCAGCAGCCGCGGUAAAACGUAGGUCACAAGCGUUGUCCGGAAUUACUGGGUGUAAAGGGAGCGCAGGCGGGAAGACAAGUUGGAAGUGAAAUCUAUGGGCUCAACCCAUAAACUGCUUUCAAAACUGUUUUUCUUGAGUAGUGCAGAGGUAGGCGGAAUUCCCGGUGUAGCGGUGGAAUGCGUAGAUAUCGGGAGGAACACCAGUGGCGAAGGCGGCCUACUGGGCACCAACUGACGCUGAGGCUCGAAAGUGUGGGUAGCAAACAGGAUUAGAUACCCUGGUAGUCCACACCGUAAACGAUGAUUACUAGGUGUUGGAGGAUUGACCCCUUCAGUGCCGCAGUUAACACAAUAAGUAAUCCACCUGGGGAGUACGACCGCAAGGUUGAAACUCAAAGGAAUUGACGGGGGCCCGCACAAGCAGUGGAGUAUGUGGUUUAAUUCGACGCAACGCGAAGAACCUUACCAAGUCUUGACAUCCCUUGACAGGCAUAGAAAUAUGUUUUCUCUUCGGAGCAAGGAGACAGGUGGUGCAUGGUUGUCGUCAGCUCGUGUCGUGAGAUGUUGGGUUAAGUCCCGCAACGAGCGCAACCCUUAUGGUCAGUUACUACGCAAGAGGACUCUGGCCAGACUGCCGUUGACAAAACGGAGGAAGGUGGGGAUGAUGUCAAAUCAUCAUGCCCUUUAUGACUUGGGCUACACACGUACUACAAUGGCGUUAAACAAAGAGAAGCAAGACCGCGAGGUGGAGCAAAACUCAGAAACAACGUCCCAGUUCGGACUGCAGGCUGCAACUCGCCUGCACGAAGUCGGAAUUGCUAGUAAUCGUGGAUCAGCAUGCCACGGUGAAUACGUUCCCG
rnacentral:rRNA from 1 species